GUGAGGAAUAUUGCGCAAUGGAGGCAACUCUGACGCAGCCAUGCCGCGUGCAGGAAGAAGGCGCUACGCGUUGUAAACUGCUUUUAACCGGGAAGAAACCCCAGGACGUGUCCUGGGUUGACGGUACCGGAGGAAUAAGCACCGGCUAACUUCGUGCCAGCAGCCGCGGUAAUACGAAGGGUGCAAGCGUUAUCCGGAUUCAUUGGGUGUAAAGGGUGCGUAGGCGGAGCGUUAAGUCAGUGGUGAAAUCCUGCAGCUUAACUGUAGACUUGCCAUUGAUACUGGCGCUCUUGAGUGCGCUUGAAGUGGGCGGAAUGUGCCGUGUAGCGGUGAAAUGCUUAGAUAUGGCACAGAACACCAAUUGCGAAGGCAGCUCACUAAGGCGAUACUGACGCUGAGGCACGAAAGCGUGGGGAUCGAACAGGAUUAGAUACCCGUGUAGUCC
rnacentral:rRNA from 1 species